UAAUUAACAACCAGAAGUGCUUCCUAUUAACUACACGUCUCCAGCAUUAUUUCAAAAGUACAAUCUGGCAUAGUUUUUACUUGGAUGGAAAGCAAGACUGUCUCUUACACCGAACCAGAAAACUCUUUUCAGCAGCUGCAGAAUCAUACUGACUGGAUGGGGUUUUAAAGAUGCUGAGAUCUUUUCAUACUGCUCAACUGCCAGCCUCCUCACUGCGUUCCAGGAAGAGAGUCUCAAUAAGAAUGCUGCCUCAGGUCGUUUGACUCCAGGCUGAAGAGGGGUUGUUCCCUGAAAUGACCAACUCUCCUAGGGAAGAGUGAAAUCGAAUCUAAAUUAACAGAUACAGUUGAGUUAAAACACAAGAAUGGGGAUUUUGAAGAAGCAAUCAAAUCACACCAGUCCCAAGAAGGUAAUGAUCUGGUAAGUGUUCUCCAUCUUUAA